rnacentral:rRNA from 1 species
UCGAGAAUCUUCCGCAAUGGGCGAAAGCCUGACGGAGCGACACCGCGUGCAGGACGAAGGCCCUCGGGUUGUAAACUGCUGUCACGCUCUAGGAAUCCCGUGUUGUGAAUAGCAGCACGGUUGACUAAGGCGAGAGGAAGUGGCGGCUAACUCUGUGCCAGCAGCCGCGGUAAGACAGAGGCCACGAACGUUGUUCGGAAUCACUGGGCAUAAAGCGCACGUAGGCGGCUAGGUCCGUCCGAUGUGAAAGCCCCCGGCUCAACCGGGGGAAUAGCAUCGGAUACAGCCUGGCUUGAGGACGGUUGGGGUGAGUGGAACUCCUGGUGGAGCGGUGAAAUGCGUAGAUAUCAGGAGGAACACCGGUGGCGAAAGCGGCGCUCUGGAACGUUUCUGACGCUAAGGCUCGAAAGCGUGGGGAGCAAACAGGAUUAGAUACCCUGGUAGUCCCUGAGCGGGCUGGCAAGGCGCAU